AUGAACAGGCCUCUCUCUCUCUCUCUCUCUCUCUCUCUCCCUCUCUCCUUUUUUAUUGCAGUGGGGGAGGGGGUGACACAGGAAGCUGUGAGGCAGACGCAGAGCAGGAGAAGAGGAAAGAAUGAGCGAUAAAGAAGAAAGAGAGACAGGAGGAGGAGAGAGUUCCCAUGGCAUCUGAACGGAUACACAUUGACUGCUGAUCUCAUCCUUUACGUGUGAAGUUGUUGUAGCUAUUGUCUGUCUGUGUGCGAGUGUGCGCAGGCGUACGUACCUAUGUGCGUAACGUAUGAAUGGAUGCAACUGUAUUUCAUUCAUUGAGAAAUCCAGUUGCUGUUCUCUGACACUUUCCUCGUGUGUCGCCUUACAGAAAUUAGCAGAAACUAUGAAAACAAAAAAAUGUGGGUGAAAUACAAAUGCAGCAAUCUAUUUAAAAUAUGCAACACUUCACAUGUGAAAUAAAAUUGCUUUCUUUCCCUGAACAAUUCACAUUCAUAGUAAAACGUGCAACUUAAAUCCUCAGACCAAUGUUGAAGGAUCUUUAGCAGAUGUGCCUUGUCAAGAGAGAAAAGAGGUAAAAAUAGACAGAAUCAGAUGCCAAUCUUGUAUCUGUAUGUGCACAUUUGUGACUUCAUAGUUUGACGAUUAUCAUUUUGUUUUCACAGAACCUAAUCAAGUAGAAAUGUACAAAUCCAAGAUCUAAGUGAAUAAGACAAGCAAAAUCUACAAAAAUAGUAGUAAUCUAGUCGUUUACUGACACUUGGAUUCUUGCCCCACAGCUUGAUUGUUCUGGUUUGGUCUCAUUGAUCUUGGUCUCAUUUACAGGAGAAGCAGGAAACUACAUGCCUCCAGCUGCUCAACACUGUGGAACAUGCAGCCACAAAUUUCCUUCAGGACAUUGUGGCCACCAAAGCAGUGCUAUAAGGCACGUCCUGAAUAGUCGGUGGGAACCGAAGCAAAACAAAAAAGAGAAUCGAUUUUGGACUUACAUUUAUGAGAACUACAGAGCACAGAAGAACUGAGCUUAACUAAAGACCUGUGACCUUCGACAGAGAAUGCAUGACAGAGACUUCACAGGAAGAGAAAAGGUCAGCCAACACGAACACGAGUGCCAACUGAGCUAAAGGAAACAUUG